rnacentral:rRNA from 1 species
AUUGAACGCUGGCGGCAGGCCUAACACAUGCAAGUCGAGCGGAUGAAGGGAGCUUGCUCCUGGAUUCAGCGGCGGACGGGUGAGUAAUGCCUAGGAAUCUGCCUGGUAGUGGGGGAUAACGUCCGGAAACGGGCGCUAAUACCGCAUACGUCCUGAGGGAGAAAGUGGGGGAUCUUCGGACCUCACGCUAUCAGAUGAGCCUAGGUCGGAUUAGCUAGUUGGUGGGGUAAAGGCCUACCAAGGCGACGAUCCGUAACUGGUCUGAGAGGAUGAUCAGUCACACUGGAACUGAGACACGGUCCAGACUCCUACGGGAGGCAGCAGUGGGGAAUAUUGGACAAUGGGCGAAAGCCUGAUCCAGCCAUGCCGCGUGUGGGAAGAAGGUCUUCGGAUUGUAAAGCACUUUAAGUUGGGAGGAAGGGAAGUAAGUUAAUACCUUGCUGUUUUGACGUUACCAACAGAAUAAGCACCGGCUAACUUCGUGC